UUUUUAGUAUAAGUAUGGUCCAUUCAAUAUUUAGGAUAUAUUUAUACUAAAA
rfam:Myotis davidii contig134171, whole genome shotgun sequence.